GCACUAAGUCACUUUGUCUUUAUGGCAAAUGUGAGAUGCAGUGUAUGGAAUGUCAAAUUUCUAGUAUGAGAAAUUAACGAUUUAAGUCCUUCUUAAAUGAGGCCAUUUACCCAUAGAGGGUGCCAGGCCCGUAUAACGUUAAUGAUUACUAGAUGGCAUUUCCAAAGAGUCGUGUUGCUUGAUAGUGCAGCACUAAGUGGGUGGUAAACUCCAUCUAAAACUAAAUAUAACCAUGAGACCGAUAGUAAACAAGUACCGUGAGGGAAAGUUGAAAAGAACUCUGAAUAGAGAGUUAAAUAGUACGUGAAACUGCUUAGAGGUUAAGCCCGAUGAACCUGAAUAUCCAUUAUAGAAAAUUCAUCAUUAUGAUUUUAAUAUUAAUAAUAUUAUAAUAAUGGUGUGCAUUUUUUCUAUAACGGACAUUGUAAUCUAUUAACAUAAAUAUAUUUAUCAUAAGAUCAAUGAUGCGUAAGUUUAUUCAAAUUAUUUUGCUUGCAAUUUAACAUAGAAUAAAUGCUCUUGAUUUGAUAAAGUGUUGAUAGAUUUAUUGUAUAUAGUGCUUAAAUAUUUAUAUUUUAUAAUAGCAUAUUAAUCAUUGAUUUUUAUGUUUAUUAUAUGCACUUAUAUGAUUAACAAUGCGAAAGAUUCAGGAUACCUUCGGGACCCGUCUUGAAACACGGACCAAGGAGUCUAACAUAUUUGCAAGUUAUUGGGUAUCAAAACCUAAUAGCGAAAUUAACAUAACUUUAUGGGAUUAGUUUUUAGAUUAUUUAUAGUCUAUUAAUUCAAUCCCGGGGCGUUCUAUACGGUUAUGUAUAAUAAUAUUUAUAUUAUUUAUACCUCUAACUAGAGCGUACCUUGAGCAUAUAUGCUGUGACCCGAAAGAUGGUGAACUAUACUUGAUCAGGUUGAAGUCAGGGGAAACCCUGAUGGAAGACCGAAACAGUUCUGACGUGCAAAUCGAUUGUCAGAAUUGAGUAUAGGGGCGAAAGAC
rnacentral:rRNA from 1 species